CCCUUAGAUGUCCUGGGCCGCACGCGCGCUACACUGACGGAGCCAGCGAGCGUGUCCUUCGCCGAAAGGUGCGGGUAAUCUUGGCAGCCUCCGUCGUGCUGGGGAUAGAUGGUUGCAAUUAUUGAUCUUGAACGAGGAAUUCCUAGUAAGCGCGAGUCACCAGCUCGCGUUGAUUACGUCCCUGCCCUUUGUACACACCGCCCGUCGCUACUACCGAUUGAACGGUUUAGUGAGGGCCUCGGAUUGGUCUCGGCCCGCUCUUUACCGGGCGGCGCCGUUGGUCGAGAAGACGCUCGAACUUGAUCGUUUAGAGGAAGUAAAAGUCGUAACA
rnacentral:rRNA from 1 species